CCUAGCGAUUGAAAAGUUAGUGGCGGACGGGUGAGUAACGCGUGGGUAACCUGCCUUGUACUGGGGGACAACAGUUGGAAACGACUGCUAAUACCGCAUGACAUAUAGAUGUCGCAUGGCAUUUAUAUCAAAGAUUUAUCGCUGAAAGAUGGCCUCGCGUCUGAUUAGAUAGUUGGUGAGGUAACGGCCCACCAAGUCAACGAUCAGUAGCCGGACUGAGAGGUUGAACGGCCACAUUGGGACUGAGAUACGGCCCAGACUCC
rnacentral:rRNA from 1 species